rnacentral:rRNA from 1 species
UACGAAGGGGGCUAGCGUUGCUCGGAAUUACUAGGCGUAAAGCGCACGUAGGCGGAUCUUUAAGUCAGGGGUGAAAUCCUGGAGCUCAACUCCAGAACUGCCUUUGAUACUGAGGGUCUUGAGUUCGGGAGAGGUGAGUGGAACUGCGAGUGUAGAGGUGAAAUUCGUAGAUAUUCGCAAGAACACCAGUGGCGAAGGCGGCUCACUGGCCCGAUACUGACGCUGAGGUGCGAAAGCGUGGGGAGCAAACAGG